rnacentral:tRNA from 1 species
GCGCCGUUAGCUUAGUUGGUAGAGCAGGGGACUUUUAAUCCCAAGGUCGUGAGUUCGAGUCUCACACGGCGCACCA